GAUGAACGCUGGCGGCGUGCUUAACACAUGCAAGUCGAACGAAGCAUUUAAGACAGAUUACUUCGGUUUGAAGUCUUUUAUGACUGAGUGGCGGACGGGUGAGUAACGCGUGGGUAACCUGCCUCAUACAGGGGGAUAGCAGCUGGAAACGGCUGGUAAUACCGCAUAAGCGCACGGUAUCGCAUGAUACAGUGUGAAAAACUCCGGUGGUAUGAGAUGGACCCGCGUCUGAUUAGCUGGUUGGUGAGGUAACGGCCCACCAAGGCGACGAUCAGUAGCCGGCCUGAGAGGGUGAACGGCCACAUUGGGACUGAGACACGGCCCAAACUCCUACGGGAGGCAGCAGUGGGGAAUAUUGCACAAUGGGCGCAAGCCUGAUGCAGCGACGCCGCGUGAAGGAUGAAGUAUUCGGUAUGUAAACUUCUAUCAGCAGGAGAAAAUGACGGUACCUGACUAAGAAGCCCCGGCUAACUACGUGCCAGCAG
rnacentral:rRNA from 1 species